rnacentral:rRNA from 1 species
CCUACGGGGGGCUGCAGUGGGGAAUCUUGCGCAAUGCGCGAAAGCGUGACGCAGCAACGCCGCGUGGGGGAAGAAGGCCUUCGGGUUGUAAACCCCUUUCAGGAGGGACGAAGGUCCGGCGGUGAACAGCCGUCCGGACUGACGGUACCUCCACAAGAAGCCCCGGCUAACUACGUGCCAGCAGCCGCGGUAAUACGUAGGGGGCGAGCGUUGUCCGGAAUCAUUGGGCGUAAAGCGCGCGUAGGCGGCCCGGUAAGUCCGCUCUGAAAGUCCAG